rnacentral:rRNA from 1 species
UACGUAGGGUGCAAGCGUUGUCCGGAAUUAUUGGGCGUAAAGAGCUCGUAGGCGGUCUGUCGCGUCUGCUGUGAAAAUCAGGGCUCAACCCUGGACCUGCAGUGGGUACGGGCAGACUAGAGUGCGGUAGGGGAGAUCGGAAUUCCUGGUGUAGCGGUGAAAUGCGCAGAUAUCAGGAGGAACACCGGUGGCGAAGGCGGAUCUCUGGGCCGUAACUGACGCUGAGGAGCGAAAGCAUGGGGAGCGAACAGG